CCUACGGGGGGCUGCAGUGGGGAAUAUUGGACAAUGGGGGGAACCCUGAUCCAGCCAUGCCGCGUGUGUGAAGAAGGCCCUCGGGUUGUAAAGCACUUUCAGUGAGGAAGAACGCCUGGUGGUUAAUACCCAUCAGGAAAGACAUCACUCACAGAAGAAGCACCGGCUAACUCCGUGCCAGCAGCCGCGGUAAUACGGAGGGUGCGAGCGUUAAUCGGAAUUACUGGGCGUAAAGCGCGCGUAGGUGGCUUGAUAAGCCGGUUGUGAAAGCCCCGGGCUCAACCUGGGAACGGCAUCCGGAACUGUCAAGCUAGAGUGCAGGAGAGGAAGGUAGAAAUCCCGGUGUAGCGGUGAAAUGCGUAGAGAUCGGGAGGAAUACCAGUGGCGAAGGCGGCCUUCUGGACUGACACUGACACUGAGGUGCGAAAGCGUGGGUAGCAAACAGGAUUAGAUACCCUUGUAGUC
rnacentral:rRNA from 1 species